UGGGGAAUUUUGGACAAUGGGCGCAAGCCUGAUCCAGCAAUGCCGCGUGCAGGAAGAAGGCCUUCGGGUUGUAAACUGCUUUUGUACGGAACGAAAAGGCUCUGGUUAAUACCUGGGGCACAUGACGGUACCGUAAGAAUAAGCACCGGCUAACUACGUGCCAGCAGCCGCGGUAAUACGUAGGGUGCAAGCGUUAAUCGGAAUUACUGGGCGUAAAGCGUGCGCAGGCGGUUUUGUAAGACAGGCGUGAAAUCCCCGGGCUUAACCUGGGAAUUGCGCUUGUGACUGCAAGGCUGGAGUGCGGCAGAGGGGGAUGGAAUUCCGCGUGUAGCAGUGAAAUGCGUAGAUAUGCGGAGGAACACCGAUGGCGAAGGCAAUCCCCUGGACCUGUACUGACGCUCAUGCACGAAAGCGUGGGGAGCAAACAGGAUUAGAUACCCCCGUAGUCCCUGAGCGGGCUGGCAAGGCGCAU
rnacentral:rRNA from 1 species